CUGCGCUGAGGUUUAAGAAGGCCUGGAAAAACACAGCAUUGUGCUGUCUAUCAGAGCUUUUCUCACACAGAACAUGGGAAUUCCCUUCAGAAAAAGGAAACCUAUCCCUUUGUUUCUGAUAGGAACUGAUACCUAUUUUGGUGAUGGUGGCAGACUGAUGAGGGGACAGGAGGAAUACAACCGCCACAUCUCGAGCACGACCAGCACCACCCACAGCAAAGGGAGUGGAAAAUAUUUUCCAGCAUUCAGCUCUGUUGACACAACAGUCCUAUGGCAAAGAAGGGCUUUAAAGUGCCUAGAGAUUAGUUAAUGAUCACGGCCUGCUCUGAAAUUCUCCAGCUGUGGGCAUUAGUGGGAUCACUUGGCACAGUCCAUGCAGCAGACCACCUGGGUUCAGGCAGUAGCUGUUGCUUGGUGGAGAAGGCCCUCUGAACGAGACAGGUGUGGCAGCUGUAAUCAGAUGGGGGUUGGCUCUUCACAGCUGUGAAUGGCAGGGGGACAAGAAACUACAGACAUGCAUUGAAAUCAGAAGUUCUGAGGGGGUGUAGGGAAAUAUCUUUCCCAUGAGGUCAGUCAAGCAGUGGAGCAGGUGCCUCGAGAGUCUGUGCAGUCUGCAUCCUUUGGGAUUGUCAAGACCUUUGGGUUAAGGCAUGAGGAGCUAAGCCUGCUUCCAUAGCCCUGCUUUGAGCAGCAGGCUGGAUUGGAGGACUGUGCGAUGCCCUUCUCUGAUGGAAUGAUCCUGUGUUUGGAUGGUAAUUGCUCUUGGAAAUUCUCCUGCCAUUGCCCGCUUCCCUUGAGGUGUUGUGCAAGGUGCCUGCUAUGGGAGGAGAUCUUACCUCAAGAUCCCCAGAGAGACAAAGUGCUCUGCCAGCCAGAAGAAAUUGGGUAGAAGCCUCAGCAUCACCAGAGUCCUCAGCACAGCCCACCUGGAGCACAGUUAGCAGAGGCUCGUGCCAUCCUGCUCCUCCCGGCGCACCAUCUCCUUCUCCAUCGUACCACCCGCCCUCACAGCGACUGCGGCUCAGUGCCACGGACCAAGCUCAGUGGGAACAAACACGACAGUGAAAAGCUCACUGCCUUGAUGAAUCUGCUGGAACAACUCACGGACUGAUAGUCCCUCCAUAGGAAGAAACGCAGCUUAAGGUCACUCUGCUGCUCUGUGCCUGCAGCCCUUUUAGGCCCACAGAACAUGGAGAUUUAUUUUUUGCAAAAGGAAGAGAAGAAUCCACACAUUUCAUUCUCUAUAUAAUCCACACCACAUCGCCGCAAUGAUAACAAUGUCUGAUUGUGUCACUAAUCAGAUCUUAAUUUAGAAGUCAGUGCUCUGAUAAAAAGAUACAGAUGAGUUCUUGGCAGUUACUCUUCUAUCAGACAACCAGCUCGCACUGCACUGCACCCAUGGGGCUGGGAGGUGGGCUCUGGUGCACUGGAACUGCGUGUAGCUGUGAGCCCAGCUGCUGUGUCGCAGUGCCCAGCAGAGCUCUGAUGGACAGCCUUUGCUGCCGGGAGGCGCAGAGCCGUGCAGCACUGCAGGGUGGGUUUCUGGCAGCGCUUUGCUGGGACGUUCUGGAUCAUUG
rnacentral:lncRNA from 1 species